rnacentral:rRNA from 1 species
CGAUGGUCCUCCUUCGGGAGGGGAUUAGUGGCGAACGGGUGAGUAACACGUGGGCAAUCUGCCCUGCACUCUGGGACAAGCCCUGGAAACGGGGUCUAAUACCGGAUACUGAUCAUCUUGGGCAUCCUUGGUGAUCGAAAGCUCCGGCGGUGCAGGAUGAGCCCGCGGCCUAUCAGCUUGUUGGUGAGGUAAUGGCUCACCAAGGCGACGACGGGUAGCCGGCCUGAGAGGGCGACCGGCCACACUGGGACUGAGACACGGCCCAGACUCCUACGGGAGGCAGCAGUGGGGAAUAUUGCACAAUGGGCGAAAGCCUGAUGCAGCGACGCCGCGUGAGGGAUGACGGCCUUCGGGUUGUAAACCUCUUUCAGCAGGGAAGAAGCGAAAGUGACGGUACCUGCAGAAGAAGCGCCGGCUAACUACGUGCCAGCAGCCGCGGUAAUACGUAGGGCGCGAGCGUUGUCCGGAAUUAUUGGGCGUAAAGAGCUCGUAGGCGGCUUGUCGCGUCGGUUGUGAAAGCCCGGGGCUUAACCCCGGGUCUGCAGUCGAUACGGGCAGGCUAGAGUUCGGUAGGGGAGAUCGGAAUUCCUGGUGUAGCGGUGAAAUGCGCAGAUAUCAGGAGGAACACCGGUGGCGAAGGCGGAUCUCUGGGCCGAUACUGACGCUGAGGAGCGAAAGCGUGGGGAGCGAACAGGAUUAGAUACCCUGGUAGUCCACGCCGUAAACGGUGGGCACUAGGUGUGGGCGACAUUCCACGUCGUCCGUGCCGCAGCUAACGCAUUAAGUG